rnacentral:piRNA from 1 species
UCCUUUCCGUAUCUACAGAGGAGGUGCUUA